rnacentral:rRNA from 1 species
UACGUAGGGUGCAAGCGUUGUCCGGAAUUAUUGGGCGUAAAGAGCUCGUAGGCGGUUUGUUGCGUCGGCUGUGAAAUCCCGAGGCUCAACCUCGGGUCUGCAGUCGAUACGAGCAAACUAGAGUGUUGCAGGGGAGACUGGAAUUCAUGGUGUAGCGGUGAAAUGCGCAGAUAUCAGGAGGAACACCGGUGGCGAAGGCGGGUCUCUGGGCAACAACUGACGCUGAGGAGCGAAAGCGUGGGGAGCGAACAGG